GUAGGGAAUCUUCGGCAAUGGGGGCAACCCUGACCGAGCAACGCCGCGUGAGUGAAGAAGGUUUUCGGAUCGUAAAGCUCUGUUGUAAGUCAAGAACGAGUGUGAGAGUGGAAAGUUCACACUGUGACGGUAGCUUACCAGAAAGGGACGGCUAACUACGUGCCAGCAGCCGCGGUAAUACGUAGGUCCCGAGCGUUGUCCGGAUUUAUUGGGCGUAAAGCGAGCGCAGGCGGUUUGAUAAGUCUGAAGUUAAAGGCUGUGGCUCAACCAUAGUUCGCUUUGGAAACUGUCAAACUUGAGUGCAGAAGGGGAGAGUGGAAUUCCAUGUGUAGCGGUGAAAUGCGUAGAUAUAUGGAGGAACACCGGUGGCGAAAGCGGCUCUCUGGUCUGUAACUGACGCUGAGGCUCGAAAGCGUGGGGAGCGAGCAGGAUUAGAUACCCUGGUAGUCCACGCCGUAAACGAUGAGUGCUAGGUGUUGGAUCCUUUCCGGGGUUCAGUGCCGCAGCUAACGCAUUAAGCACUCCGCCUGGGGAGUACGACCGCAAGGUUG
rnacentral:rRNA from 1 species